rnacentral:rRNA from 1 species
CAACAGGGAUUGCCUCAGUAACGGCGAGUGAAGCGGCAAAAGCUCAAAUUUGAAAUCUAGCACCUUCGGUGUUCGAGUUGUAAUUUGAAGAUGGUAACCUUGGGUUUGGCUCUUGUCUAUGUUCCUUGGAACAGGACGUCAUAGAGGGUGAGAAUCCCGUCUGAUGAGAUGCCCAUUCCUAUGUAAGGUGCUAUCGAAGAGUCGAGUUGUUUGGGAAUGCAGCUCUAAGUGGGUGGUAAAUUCCAUCUAAAGCUAAAUAUUGGCGAGAGACCGAUAGCGAACAAGUACAGUGAUGGAAAGAUGAAAAGAACUUUGAAAAGAGAGUGAAAAAGUACGUGAAAUUGUUGAAAGGGAAGGGCAUUAGAUCAGACUUGGUGUUUUACGAUUAUCUUCUCUUCUUGAGCUGUGCACUCGUAUUUCACUGGGCCAGCAUCGAUUCGGAUGGCAAGAUAAUGGCAGUUGAAUGUGGCUUCACUUCGGUGGAGUGUUAUAGCUUCUGCUGAUAUUGCCUGUCUGGAUCGAGGGCUGCGUCUUUUGACUAGGAUGCUGGCGUAAUGAUCUAAUGC